CUCUUCAAAAGGAAAAUGUCUACAGAUGGACAUAGCAUACAAAACAUAAGCAAAAACCUCACCUACCCUGGAUUAUACACAGAGCAGUCACUGGAGACGUGUGACUGUUUGUGUAGUGGCUCACCUUCAUCCGACCGCCUCUGCUGUGCAGAGCUCCAGAGAGCCGGAAGCCUCUCUAAUCGAUGACGAGAGGCAAAGCAGGCACGAGAGCACCUGAAGGAACCUCAGGGUGAUCAAGAAGGGGGUCAGUCAGCGAACAGAGGCCCCGCCUACCUCCCUGGCAGCAAAGCCUCGGGACUUGAUAGCGUCGAGUAAGAGGGCGUUGCAGGGUCGCAGCCCUGGGUUGUAAACUUCACCUCCGCACUUCUUCCACCGCAGUUCACAUGGUCAUGUGAUUCCUCAUUGUCGACGUGCUCAAUCAUUCAGAAGAGUCAGCGUCUGAGCACUUAUCUCUCUUAAAGAUGCCCUGGAGGAAGGUGAGGUCACAACCAGAGGUUACCAGGAAGGAACAACUGAAGAAAGGUCCUCAGGAUGGUACAGAGGGCCAUCCACAUCAGCACAAUGUAGGUUCAGUUUCUCCUGGGAGGUGAAGCAGCAAUCCACCAUGUUCCUCCUCAUCUCUCCUGCCAUCCUGGGUCCCAAAGCACCUGAAAAACUGUUCAGGACAGCAUUACUGCAGACUGGGGGCAGAGUCAGCCUCUGCUUCUUGCCAGCUUAACGUCCUUUGACCGACUGAACCGGUUCCCGUUCAUUCCUCUCCUCUCAGCAUUGGCUUGAGUUUGAGGUCACCUUUGUCUGCAUUUACAGUGGGGUCCCCAGACUGGGACAAGGGUAUCCCAUUGAUCUGCUAUUUCAAGCUUGGCUUGAAACACGCGACAGAAAGCCAGAGAUGCACGAAUGAGACUGAAAUGGAACAGGGAACCAAAGAAGGGACCAAACAGGAAAGAGAGCCUGAAAAGAGACGUUUAAUUUCUCUAUUGAUAAGAUUCUCCUGAACUUUGUUCACCAUUUAUUGCAAGUUCUUCUGUAAAUGUGUUUUUAUGGGAAGGAUCUACUAUCAGGGAAAUCCAGGAGUGCGGUAGGGGCAUGGAUACUCUGGCAGGCUCAGGGAGCCCUGCACUUUACAGAGGCCACACAAUACAUAAAAUUGUGAAAUUAUAUAAUGAAAGAAUAGGGCUGGGGGGGACACCAGGUGACAUUUUGUCAGGAGGAUCUAGAAUAUCUACCAUAUCUACCUACAUGACUGGGAGAAACCCACAUAAACAUGGGAAGGACAGGCAAAGUCCACACACACACACACAGAGUCAUGUAAUCAUAUCUUUUUGGGGACCGCUCAUUCAUUUCUGUGGGAAAAAUGCUAACGCUGACUA